AAACAAGCGGUAAAUCGAACAAAAGCAAGAAAGGGCGGAAAAAGAAGAAGAAGAAACCCUACUAGGGUUUUUAUUUUCCACCCAAUCCAAUUGACGGGAUGAUAAUCCCCUAAUUCCCAUCCCCUCAAUUUCGUAUUACCUUCGUACUUAUCCAUUUUCCGUCGGAUUCCUCCUCUCCCGGAAGUUUCGUAUUCGACAUGGCUGAGCUGAUCGAGAAUGCUUGACUUAUCGAAUUCUGCGUUGGUGUCUUGACAUUCCGAUUGCUUCGGAUGGAGUGGCUUUCCUGGCAGUAGAUAGAAAGCUGGCUUCUUGAUGUUUAUGUUACUCAGUCCUACUAUAGAAAUGUAACUUGUUUUUGGGUUUUGGGAUAUUUCGAUUAUGUCUGGAAGAAAUCGAGGACCGCCCAUCCCGCUAAAUGGUCUGCCUCAUGGUGGACUACCACCAGUUCGUGAACCUCCUUUUGCUAGAGGUCUUGGGCCAUUGCCACAUCCAGUGCUUCUUGAGGAAAUCAGGGAAUCACAGUAUGGGAUGCAUCCAGGGUCUCUUCCUCCACACCCUGCAAUAAUCGAGGAGCGUCUUGCUGCCCAACAUCAAGAUAUUCAAGGUCUUCUUCUUGACAACCAGAGGCUAGCUGCAACCCAUGUUGCGCUUAAGCAAGAACUAGAAGCAGCCCAGCAUGAGUUGCAACGCAUGGCUCAUGUUGCCGAUUCCUUACAUGCAGAGAGGGACAUUCAGAUGAGAGAAUUAUAUGAAAAGUCAGUAAGACUAGAGGUUGAUAUGCGAGGAGUUGAGACUAUGCGAGCAGAGCUUCUUCAAGUUCAUUCUGAUGUCAAGGAAUUAACUGCUGCAAGGCAGGAGCUUAAUGGGCAAGUACAAGCAAUGACACAAGAUCUAACUAGAAUCACUGCAGAUUUGCAGCAGGUCCCUGCUUUGAGGGCAGAAAUUGAAACUGUGAAGCAGGAAUUACAUCGUGCAAGAGUUGCAAUUGAGUAUGAAAAGAAGGGAUAUGCGGAGAAUUAUGAACACGGUCAGGUUAUGGAGAAGAAACUGGUUUCAAUGGCUAGGGAAUUGGAGAAACUUAGAGCUGAGGUUGCUAAUGCAGAGAAGAGAGCUCAUGCUUCUGCUGCUGUUGGCGGAAAUGCUGCUGCUGGAUAUGGAGCAAAUUAUGGCAAUGCUGAUGCUGGAUACGGGGGAAAUCCAUAUUCUACCAAUUAUGGCUUGAACUCCGUGCAGUCUGGUACUGAAGGUUAUCCUCCGUAUGGACCUGGAUCUGUUCCCUGGGGUGCAUAUGACAUACAACGGGCUCAAGGACAUAGAUAGAAUGAUGCAUGAUAUCCUGCUAAGAUGUUUCUUGCAGAGGGAUUGAGGUUCAAAUCACAAAGCACUGAUAAUUAGCAGGUUUGUGGGCCUCCGUUAUCUGCUUCAUCUAUGUCUGUGAACUGAUUUCAGAUUGUACUGAGAUUCUAUAUAAAAGCAGUGGAAGCUGAACUCCCAAUUCUUCCAUCUGAAAUCACUGCAGUUUGUGGCUUGGCUUCCGCCCUUUGCUUCAGUAUGAGAAAAAUGAGACGUCUAUUCGAAGUUGACCUAUGGUUCUUGAACAUCCAUCUAUGUAACAGGCAUACAGAUCCGAACAGGCUUCAACUGUGUUCGCUGCUCGACAAAAUGGGUUCUGUCACAGUUUAGUAGUUCAACUUCAACCAAAACCCUCUGGAGUUUUGUUGGCUUGAAGUUGGUUGAAUUUAACAGCAGCGGAUCAAAAGUUAAUUGUUGAAAGUUGGGGUAAAUCAACCCCACAUCAGGCAAAUAUCAGUGUAUCUAACAUCUCAGAUCAAGAAAUUUUUGUACGUUUUCUCGUCUCUGAAUUCUUAUUUGAACUUAUGAAUGUAUGAACUACUAAGGUUCUUGUCUAAAAGACUCGUAAACAUCAAAUUUGUGUCUAAUAGAUACGGGAUUUAACUUUGAA